UACGUAGGUGGCAAGCGUUGUCCGGAAUUAUUGGGCGUAAAGCGCGCGCAGGUGGUUUCUUAAGUCUGAUGUGAAAGCCCACGGCUCAACCGUGGAGGGUCAUUGGAAACUGGGGAACUUGAGUGCAGAAGAGGAAAGUGGAAUUCCACGUGUAGCGGUGAAAUGCGUAGAGAUGUGGAGGAACACCAGUGGCGAAGGCGGCCUUCUGGACCAAUACUGACGCUCAUGCACGAAAGCGUGGGGAGCAAACAGG
rnacentral:rRNA from 1 species